GACGAACGCUGGCGGCGUGCUUAACACAUGCAAGUCGAACGGAAAGGCCUUUUCGGAGGUACUCGAGUGGCGAACGGGUGAGUAACACGUGGGUGAUCUGCCCUGCACUCUGGGAUAAGCCUGGGAAACUGGGUCUAAUACCGGAUAGGACUGCACUUUAGUGUGUGUGGUGGAAAGUUUUUUCGGUGUAGGAUGAGCCCGCGGCCUAUCAGCUUGUUGGUGGGGUAAUGGCCUACCAAGGCGGCGACGGGUAGCCGGACUGAGAGGUUGGUCGGCCACAUUGGGACUGAGAUACGGCCCAGACUCCUACGGGAGGCAGCAGUGGGGAAUAUUGCACAAUGGGCGCAAGCCUGAUGCAGCGACGCCGCGUGGGGGAUGACGGCCUUCGGGUUGUAAACUCCUUUCGCCAGGGACGAAGCGUUUUGUGACGGUACCUGGAGAAGAAGCACCGGCUAACUACGUGCCAGCAGCCGCGGUAAUACGUAGGGUGCAAGCGUUGUCCGGAAUUACUGGGCGUAAAGAGCUCGUAGGUGGUUUGUCACGUCGUCUGUGAAAUUCCACAGCUUAACUGUGGGCGUGCAGGCGAUACGGGCUGACUUGAGUACUGUAGGGGUAACUGGAAUUCCUGGUGUAGCGGUGAAAUGCGCAGAUAUCAGGAGGAACACCGAUGGCGAAGGCAGGUUACUGGGGCAGUUACUGACGCUGAGGAGCGAAAGCAUGGGUAGCAAACAGG
rnacentral:rRNA from 1 species